UCUUUCGUAGUAUAGUGGUCAGUAUGCGAGCUUGUCAUCAAACACAACGCUCGAGACCCGGGUUCAAUUCCCGGCGAGAGAG
rfam:Magnaporthe poae ATCC 64411 unplaced genomic scaffold supercont1.5, whole genome shotgun sequence.